GAUGAACGCUGGCGGCGUGCCUAAUACAUGCAAGUCGAGCGAACAGACGAGGAGCUUGCUCCUCUGACGUUAGCGGCGGACGGGUGAGUAACACGUGGAUAACCUACCUAUAAGACUGGGAUAACUUCGGGAAACCGGAGCUAAUACCGGAUAAUAUAUUGAACCGCAUGGUUCAAUAGUGAAAGACGGUUUUGCUGUCACUUAUAGAUGGAUCCGCGCCGCAUUAGCUAGUUGGUAAGGUAACGGCUUACCAAGGCAACGAUGCGUAGCCGACCUGAGAGGGUGAUCCGCCCCACUGGAACUGAGACACGGUCCAGACUCCUACGGGAGGCCGCAGUAGGGAAUCUUCCGCAAUGGGCGAAAGCCUGACGGAGCAACGCCGCGUGAGUGAUGAAGGUCUUCGGAUCGUAAAACUCUGUUAUUAGGGAAGAACAAAUGUGUAAGUAACUAUGCACGUCUUGACGGUACCUAAUCAGAAAGCCACGGCUAACUACGUGCCAGCCGCCGCCGUAA
rnacentral:rRNA from 1 species